UUGAAUGAAUGUAGAGUUGGUUGUCGCUGGCCUUUAUUGGCAUGUGCACGCCUUCUCUUUCAUCCACACACACCUGUGCACCUGUGAGACGGAGGAAGCCUGCCCUUUCGCGAGGGUGUUUUUCUCCGUCUGCCAAUACAUAAACUCAUAUAUAUAAUUUGAAUGUAAUUGAUGUAACGCAUCUAUAAAC
rnacentral:misc_RNA from 1 species